AGUUUGUGAGGAGCGUUCGGCGGAUACACAUCGCACCCAUCGCUCUUGGCCAGCUCGUC
rnacentral:pre_miRNA from 1 species